rnacentral:rRNA from 1 species
AGGUUACUGCUAUCGGUGUUCGCCUAAGCCAUGCGAGUCAUAUGUUCUUCGUGAACAUGGCGUACUGCUCAGUAACACGUGGAUAACCUGCCCUUGGGUCCGGCAUAACCCCGGGAAACUGGGGAUAAUUCCGGAUAACGCACAUAUGCUGGAAUGCUUUUUGCGUAAAAUGGAUUCGUCUGCCCAAGGAUGGGUCUGCGGCCUAUCAGGUAGUAGUGGGUGUAAUGUACCUACUAGCCUACGACGGGUACGGGUUGUGAGAGCAAGAGCCCGGAGAUGGAUUCUGAGACAUGAAUCCAGGCCCUACGGGGCGCAGCAGGCGCGAAAACUUUACAAUGCGGGAAACCGUGAUAAGGGGACACCGAGUGCCAGCAUCCUAUGCUGGCUGUCCGGGUGUGUAAAAUACACCUGUUAGCAAGGGCCGGGCAAGACCGGUGCCAGCCGCCGCGGUAACACCGGCGGCCCGAGUGGUGAUCGUGAUUAUUGGGUCUAAAGGGUCCGUAGCCGGUUUGGUCAGUCCUCCGGGAAAUCUGACAGCUUAACUGUUAGGCUUUCGGAGGAUACUGCCAGACUUGGAACCGGGAGAGGUAAGAGGUACUACAGGGGUAGGAGUGAAAUCUUGUAAUCCCUGUGGGACCACCUGUGGCGAAGGCGUCUUACCAGAACGGGUUCGACGGUGAGGGACGAAAGCUGGGGGCACGAACCGGAUUAGAUACCCGGGUAGUCCCAGCCGUAAACGAUGCUCGCUAGGUGUCAGGCAUGGCGCGACCGUGUCUGGUGCCGCAGGGAAGCCGUGAAGCGAGCCACCUGGGAAGUACGGCCGCAAGGCUGAAACUUAA